GCUUUUAUAAUAAAGUACCAAAAAUGGAAAGAAUUUGGAGUAUCCCCUAGCCAUGUAGUAUCCUGUUUUUUCACCUCGAUUGGACCGAUUAAUACUUGUUUCGGAGUCUUUUCGCCUUGAGCUUUGUCUCCCUUGUUAUCCUCCGCGUUGCGGGCGCGGCUAUAUGUACGCAGGUGGUGCAUACGGUAAAAACCUACCCACUCCCUCCAACUCGAACCCCCAAACCCCCAAUCGCUCAAACCCUCCUCCUCCUUCCUCUGUUUCUGUAGUUCAAUCAUUUCUGUUUGGUUCUGCGCUUCAGAUUGAUGUCAAGCUUCCACCUUGUUCGAGCUAAAGGGAAAGAGAUCUACUGAGAUUUCUGUUUUGGGUUAGUUUGCACGUUGCAGUGUAUGUGCUUAAAUGGGGAGUGAGAUCGUGUCUGAGUCCUGGUUCGGUAGUUUGAGGUUCUCAUGGAGUCAUGUGGCGGAGGCUGACAAGCCGGUGAUUGGCAUUCUGGCGUUUGAAGUUGCUGGGUUGAUGUUAAAGGGGUUGAUUUAUGGAAUAGUGUGAGUGAGAAUGAGAUGCUUAGGUUGAGGGAAGAGGUUGGUAACUCGAUUGGGGUCAGAAGGCUUGUGUCUGAUGACGACUAUUACUUGAUGGAAAUUGCAGUGAAUGAGACAAUUGAGAAUUUGGGAUAUCUGGCAGUGUCUGUUGUCAGGCUUGGGAAGAAGUGCACCGACCCUGUGUAUCACCGUUUUGAAGAAUUUUUUGAUGACCCUGUGGAGAAUGGUUUUCAGUGGUUUGGGUGGCCAUACAAGUGGAAGAAAAUGGAGAGGAAAGUGAAGAAAAUGAAGAGAUUUGUUGAAGCAACAAUGCAACUAUCCCAGGAGCUGGAAGUGCUGGCAGAGCUUGAGCAAACUCUGAGCUGAGUAGAAUGCGCGCUAAUCCUGAUGUAAAUCGGGUAAAAUUGCUCAAGUUUCAACUGAAGGUAAUGUGGCGGUGUCAAGAAGUAAAAGGUUUACAAGAGAUGUCUCCAUGGAGUAGAACAUAUGAUUACACUGUCCGACUUUUGGCAAGAUCCCUUUUUACAAUGUUAGAUAGGAUAAAGCUUGUCUUUGGAUUUCAUCAAAUGGCUUUGGGACAGGGAAUGGAUAGCUCUGAAGUUAUCAAUUCCGUUUGUCUUUCUCGCAGUCAUUCAUUUUCUGCUCUUAGGCACUCUUCUGUUCAUCCAUCUGAUGGUAAUCUAUGUGGGUCUGGACCUCUUGGGAGGUCGCUUGCAAAGACGAGGCUUAAUGCUCGCAAGAAUAGAACAAACAAUCAGCGGCAACCUCAUCACCAGUCAUCCAUCCAACAUGGAAGUUACUCCCAAUUAAAACCCAAACAGUUUGCUCAUGUUGGUACGUUUGAAGGAUGCAUGACUGGUGGAAGUAAUUCUCCUGUUUUUGAGAGCUGCAAGCCUGAAAUGGGUGGUUCUAUGAGGUUGAGAAGUACUGGUAUCAAACAUUUUGAUAGCUUAAAGUACACACAUAUAGGAUCCCAAUCUUUCAGUCAUGGCAUCUAUUCUAAACCAUCCCUGUUCAGUUCAAAAUGUACACUACUGAAUGCUCCACCGUCUACCCUUGGUGGUGCUGCUCUAGCGCUCCAUUACGCACAUGUGAUUGUUUUGAUUUAAAAGAUAGCUUCAUCACCUCACUUGAUCAGCCUUGACGAAAGAUCUAAUCUUUACAAUAUGUUGACCAAAACUGUAAGGACUGCCCUGAGAGUUAGACUGAAGUCAUAUGCCAAAACUAUGGGCUCAUCUGUCUAUAAUCCCGACCUUGCAGGAGGGUGGAAUCUGGCGAUGGAGCAGAUCUUGGAAUGGCUUGCUCCACUAGCCCAUAACAUGAUACGGUGGCAUUCUGACUGCAAAAUUAUGAAGCAGCAGGAAGUUUCCAAGACGUAUGUGCUUCUGGUCCAGACCCUCUACUUUGCAAGUCAGGCUAAAACUGAAGCUGCAAUUACAGAGCUUCUCAUAGGUCUGAACUACAUGUGCAUGGUUGACGAAAUUAAUAGGAAGGCUUUGCGGGACGCUGGUGGCAGCCGACCAUACGAUGAUUAUAUUCUCAAACGGGAUGAAAUUUCUCAACAAAUUCUGGAGACGGCAAUAGCGUUUUGAACUUGCAUUAUAAGAUGAAGAUGUUCAAUCAAUGAAGUGAUUUAGAGAAGCAUGAGUUACAUGACAACACUUCGAAGAGGUAUUUCUAAGCGAUCGGAUAUCGAAUAACUCCACUAUUGAGAUGUUUAAAGCAUCAAAUUAACACGUUUCGCUUCUCUUUUUGUGUUUUGUUUUUCUUCUUGGAACUCAAAAGAAUCUUUCAUUUGUUCAUAUGAUGGAUGAAUUGGGGGCCAACGGUCACUUUCUUGUAAAGCAUAUCUUGUAAUUCGAAACUCUGCGGCAUCACGGAAUGAUAUAUUUGCACUGCUCUUUUGACA